CAGAUCAGUCAACAGCAGCCACAGCAACAGGGUUUGGCAAAAGGGAGAGACAGAACAUCGACCCCGGAAAGCACUAAAGCAUCACCGUACUCAUCUGAUGGAGUCUGGGUAGUAGCAUGAAACUGUCUUUGAGUUGACAAGGGUUACUGGAAGCCAUUCCCCAAAAGCAAAUAGGACAACACGUGCUCAUUUCCAGCGCUGAAUGAUUAUAUAGGUACAAUAAAUCAUAGAAGUAAAAACAAUGUGAAUGUUAAUUGAUUUUAUGAGGAUUUCUACAGUGCCAUCGAUGUUCUAGAAAUGUCUAAUAUGUGUAACUGUUCAAAAGUGGUUGUUGAAAUACAAAAAUUUGAGGAAAUGAAUUUUGAUACCAAAAAACCAAAAAACAUGAUUGUGAUUACUAAUAAUUUAUUUAUAACCUGCUGUUUUGAUAGUUGCAUUUACUGAGUGUAAAUCAUUGUCUUUAGUAAUGCUGUUCUUUCUAUGUUGUUAGUGUAAUCCCAAUAUAUUGUAGCUAUUGACAUUGUAUGUUUGUAUCAGACACAAUACACAAUGCACAUUACUUAAACAUCCUUUUUUUUUCCAUGAUAAUGGACCUAAUCUCAUUAAACGACACUUCUACUUGGUUUUACCACGCAUUCUGAUAUUUAUGCUCAUUUUUACUGCAUCCUGUACCAUUUUUACUGUAGCCUCAACACACAGUUGCAAACAGAGMUUCAAAAUCUUAAGGCAGCAGGUGUGAUUAGAGUCCUAUUCGUACAACAACUUGCGUAUUACAGCUCUGCUCCUCGGAGAAAAAAAAAUAACGCGUCCAGGAUGUCUUGACGCUUUCAGUCCCAAUUGACAACCAGCAAUUGAUGCCAAGGGGAUUCGUCUGCAAAGUCAGAAGACCUCAUGACAUAGUACAGGAUCAACAUGUUGGAAAUAUGUUUUACAACUUUUUUAGAUGGUSAAAUCAAUCUCAAAGUGGUUUUACCUCAGCACCAGUUAUUUCCUUAGUAUAAAGUAUUUCAAGUAGUUAGACGAAGGGCUUCAAAUUGUGCGGGACGGGACUUUGGCUCAGUUUUUUGUGAAAUGAGUUUGUAAGUUUGCGGGGAACAAAAAUAUUUGAAUGGUGAGAACUGAGACAUCAGCAGAGUUGCACUUUGAAAGGUAUGCUGUAAUUUCUGGCAGGUGUAUUUUUCUGGUUUAUAGCGUUCUUUUUUUCCUUUUUGCUAUUGGCAAAAAGCACAUGUGAGAAUUUUUGUAUUUGACUGGCUUAAUAAAUCUAUUCUAAAUGUCUUA